rnacentral:rRNA from 1 species
AUGACUUGCUUUCGUUUGCUCUGGUGGAAGAAAAAAUCCAGAAGCCAAAUUGUACAGCAGGACUUAGACAUACCACUCCAUGGCAACGUGAAGAUAUACUCCUCCAAGGAGCUCAAAAGGGCCACAAGGAAUUUCUGCUCAGGAAACAAACUUGGACAAGGUUCUUUCGGCUGCGUUUACCUGGGAAAGCUGAAGAAUGGUCAAAAAGUUGCCAUCAAGGUACUCUCCUCUGAGUCAAAGCAAGGAACAAGGGAGUUCUUGAAUGAACUGAGUGUCAUAUCCAGCAUAACCCAUCACAACCUCGUUAAACUGCACGGCUGCUGCGUCGAUGGAGGUCAGAAAAUGCUGGUCUACAAUUAUCUGGAGAACAACAGCCUUGCAAGGACCCUCUUUGGCAAUGCCCACAGUAGUAUCCGGUUUGACUGGAGCACAAGGGCGAAGAUCUGCAUUGGUGUCGCCGACGGUCUCACAUAUCUGCAUGAAGAAAUCCGGCCGCAUAUCGUCCACCGUGACAUCAAGGCGAGUAACAUUCUGCUUGACAAGGACCUGAGCCCCAAAAUAUCGGAUUUCGGGCUAGCAAAGCUCUUCCCAGGCAACAUGACGCAUAUCAGCACGAGGGUUGCAGGAACAUUAGGGUAUCUGGCACCGGAGUAUGCAAUCCGAGGGCAGCUGACAAAGAAGGCUGAUGUGUACAGCUUUGGGGUUCUGCUGCUGGAGAUUGUCAGUGGCAGGUGGCACACUGACCCCAGAUUGCCUCUCCAAGAUCAGUUCCUCCUAGAAACGGCUUGGACACUCUACGAGUCUGGUGAUCUUGGGAGCAUCAUCGACAGGACCUUAAAAGAUGAUUUCAGCACCGACGAAGCUCAUAAGUUUUUGAAAAUAGGACUUCUGUGCACCCAGGAUAGCCCCAAGGUCAGGCCCUCCAUGUCAACAGUCGCCAAGAUGCUAAAGGGUGAGUGUGCCGUCAGCGACAAGAUCAUGAGGCCAGGCCUGAUCACAGAUGUCAUGGACCUGAAAGUCAGAACAAUCGAGCCUGCUCUUCAGUUAAGUGUGUCUCCACCAAUGUCUCCACUGGAUAACCACUCACUGGUGUCUAACCUUGCAUUCGCUGGUAGCACUGUGAUAAGGGACAGCCCCUAA